rnacentral:lncRNA from 1 species
GAAAUGCAGAAUCAGUACAGUUAAGUUAAUACAAAAUUCAAGUCCUGUGUAUAAGCGGUAGCCUAACAGAAGUCAUGCUACAAAACUGCCCGUCUGUGUAAGUGCAAAAUGUUGGGGAGAACCAGAGCUGACUGGUCACACGGAUUAGGAUUCUCUCUUAUUGGAGCCUGUGUCCUGGGAGCCGGAAGCUCUUUGAAAACAGCAUGAGGAUGAGGCUGCUGGAGCAAGUGUGAUCGUGGCACCAAUGAGCAAAUCUGGAGGCUCCCCAAGUCUCUGAGCACCCCAUCUUAUAAAGCUCCAUUCGCAGCUCCACAACAUGCGCUGAAACCAAAGCCACGUGCUCCGAAAGUGAAGAGAAACAACCGGCUAGGCUAUCUGAUACAUGGAGAUACAACCCCAGAAAGUCUAUUCCUUUAAAAACAAGUGGCUGUCUUGCCCUUGGGUGACACACAUUGAAGGGACUUGCCUAUCUUCAAAUGAUUGCACGAUUGUGGCAACACAUUAGAAGUUGGUGAACCGAGCUGAGGAAACUCCCUGCUGCUCUGCAGCCCCCCAUUCCGGGGGACUUCACGUGGGAAGCAUUUUGGAUGGCAUAGAAGUGCUGCUUGGACCUGCUGUGUGGGUGAGAAGCCCACGGCAGUGCUUCUAGUGGGGUGCCAGUUCCUUGCCCACUGGUCCACAUGGGGGCACUUGGAGAGGACUGUGGUCUCAGUGGACCAGGAGCUCUAGAGACAGUGCUCCUCCCCUCUUCACCUUGUGACCCAACGCUGCUAGUGGGUUCCCUACAGCCCAGCCCAGGCCAACGUGGGCAGGGACUCCCUUCGGGCAUGCCGCUAGCUGUUCCUGGCAGCCUUCAGCCUCUGCUCCAUUCUCCCUCUCCACCCCAGCCUGAGCCUUUGCCCUGACACCAUAGACCAAUGGCCUCUGGUCAGUCGCUGACGCCUGGGGCCCCUGGCCAUCUUGUCACCUGCAGCCUCUGGCUCUCUCUCUCAGCACUGCUUCUCCAUGGACAGAUCUGAUGGGCAAAGGGUCUCCCUUAUUUCUUUAAUCAGAUACAGGAAAGAACUCAGGCAGGUGCUGAACUACCCAUCCUUCGCAUCAUCUCCAGCCUCACCCGUGAAAACUUGAAGCUAUGCUCAGAAGUGGGAGACCAUUUGGCGAUCUUUUCGGUAAAUACAGCAAAAGGGAGAAAAAAGAACAAUACCUAAUGGAUCCAACUCCUGCGUCCAAGCAGACAGUUUAACCCCUGGGUCAUCGUGCUUGUAUUUCACUUAUUGGAUUGUUAAUAGAUUUUCUUCAUUUGUGUGAGACGUUGCGAAUGAUGUGCGGAGGCCGCCGCUUCCUCCGGCGCUGGGACUCGAGGUCCACCUGUAAGGAGAUGGCGUUAAAAGCUGCUGGAGUUGCUGCCUCCUGACAACAUCCCAGCUGUAGACUCGCAAUCGCAAUCCUCGGGUGGCAGUUUUAAUUAUCGGCACCGCGAUACCAUCAGCAAGUGUGUAAUUACGUGUCAGUUUCCUGGCUGUUGGGUAUGAAAAGUGGAUCCAGUGAAAUGAUGAUUGUGGAAGCUGUAGACUCAUAUUUAAACAAUUCAAAAUGUGUAACUGGCAGUGUCAUUAAACAGAGAGAGCCUGACCCCAGCUGUCACUUACUUUCCCUUAUGCAGAUUUGUUCGUGCUGUCUGUCAAAAGAACUCCAUGGGCUGAAAUGGGACAGAGGGAGGUGACAUAAUUCUCCGAGCAAAGAGGGCUGCUCUCCUUAACCCCACAGAGGCGUUCUUUUAGCCUAAACAAAUACGACUGCUGAAAUUGUAAAUAAACCAAGACCAUUACGGGAAAUUAUAUAGACUUUUGCCGAUGAAUACACAAAGGCAGAAUAUCAAACAGACAUCCCUUCUUAAAAAAUGUGAAUAAAACCUGCCCGAUUGUCAUGCACUUAAAGAAGAAGUACUGUGGUAAUUGGGAGGGUUGAUGUUUGAAGCAGAAAAUUAAAUGACCCUUUUAGUUUGAGAUCAAAAUGGUGGGUGCAAGAUGAAGAAAAGGGGGGGCUUAUUUUGAAAACUGCUCUGUAUCAACAGUGAGAAACAUGAAUGGAUAAAAAAAAUUACACAGAUUUAAAUAAACUUCAGUAUGGCUUAGGUUAUAAGUUGUCAUGGCCUGAAAUGCUUUGAAUCCAAUUGGGAAAACAGAAAUACAUAUGCUAAAUAAAUGAAGGUAAAAAUAGGCAUGAUUGGCCUUCUAAGAAGGGUGGGUUAAGAAGUGAGAAAUACUCAAAUUUCUGCAAAUGUAAUUACAUAGUUCCGCAGCCUACCAACUACACACUCCUGGGAGAUGGGAGAAACAUGCAUUUGCUCUCAAAAGCCUUCAUUUUACCUGGCAUGCUAAAAAGGACCUUGGUAACCAAGGGUUAAGUCUGCGUGCAUGCAAAAAUACAUGAAAGGCGAAUUUAUAAAAUGAAGCGUGGAGGUUAAGUGUGGGGGUUAAACUAACACAAUGAACUGUGAACACAAAGAAAAAUGUUUCUUUAAUUUUUAAAAUGUUUUCACUUCUCAUAAUAAACUGAACUUGCAGUUGCAUGCAAACAACAUUAUUUCAUACCCUGAAGACACCACAAUUUAAAGCUUGUGGAACUCAAAUUGAUUCUAGAAGCAAUGUUAUAACUACAGAGGCGCUUUGGCAAUUGUGAUCUUCUGAAGGGCAUCAAAUCACACCUCUGGUAGCACAUCUGAAAGUAAACACUUGCACACAUGCACACACACAAGGUAGGAGGCAUUUAAAACAGGGUCAACGUCG